UGUCCAGCAACUCCUAUCCCUACCUCCUCGUGGUACUGGCCGGGGUACGAGUAACCUUGGGGAAGAUCGGGUAACCAACCCCCGGUGGGAACUUUGGUCGUAUGCUGACAGGGAAGG
rfam:Aedes aegypti strain Liverpool supercont1.1232 genomic scaffold, whole genome shotgun sequence.